CCUACGGGAGGCAGCAGUCGGGAAUUUUGCUCAAUGGGGGAAACCCUGAAGCAGCAACGCCGCGUGAGGGAUGACGGCCUUCGGGUUGUAAACCUCUUUUGUCAGGGACGAUAAUGACGGUACCUGAAGAAUAAGCCACGGCUAACUACGUGCCAGCAGCCGCGGUAAUACGUAGGUGGCAAGCGUUGUCCGGAUUUACUGGGCGUAAAGAGCGCGCAGGCGGCCAGGUCAGUCGAAUGUGAAAGCCCCCGGCUCAACUGGGGAAGGUCGUUCGAUACUGCCUGGCUCGAAGAUAGGAGAGGGAAGUGGAAUUUCAGGUGUAGUGGUGAAAUGCGUAGAUAUCUGAAGGAACACCAGUGGCGAAGGCGACUUUCUGGCCUAUUCUUGACGCUGAGGCGCGAAAGCUAGGGGAGCGAACGGGAUUAGAUACCCCGGUAGUCCUAGCCGUAAACGAUGAACACUAGAUGUUGGUGGUAUCAACCCCGCCAGUGUCGCAGCUAACGCAUUAAGUGUUCCGCCUGGGGAGUACGGCCGCAAGGCUAAAACUCAAAGGAAUUGACGG
rnacentral:rRNA from 1 species